UGGAGAAGGAAAUGGCAACCCACUCUAGUAUUCUUGCCUGGAGAAUCCCAUGGAGGGAGGAGCCUGGUAGGCUACAGUCCAUGGGGUCGAAAAGAGUUGGACACAACUGAGCGAUUUCACUUCACUAACCUUUGCAUAGUGAAUAGUACUAAUAUUAAAAUUUCCAUUUUAAGAGGUAUAAUAGAUUCUAUAAUUAUUCUAUAGUUCAUUGGGAAGAUAAAACUUAAGGAAUUUUUGAAAAGAUAAUAUAGAACUAGAUUAUUUUUGAAGAUAGUAUAAACCUACAUCAGAUGUAUGACUAGACAGAUCAGUAGAACAGAAUGACCCAGAAACAGACUUUAGUACAUACAUAUAAGACAUAAAAAAUUGUAACAAUGACAUCAUAAGUCAAUGGGGAAAGAUUAAAAAAGCACAUUUUUUAUUCUCCACUGAUGGAAAUGUGAAUUGUUAUACCCGUUUAAAUCGCUCAAUUUGGCAAUCUAUACCAAGAUCAAAUGCGCAUAAUCUUUGACACAUUGUAUUAAGAUUCUCCAAAGAAACAGAACCCACAGGCACAAAUGUUUAAUUUGGGCACCCAGUGACUGGUGAAGUUGACACAAAAGCCCCCAAUUCCACUUCUAGAUAUUUAUGUUGCCAGUCCAUAGGGACGUGUAAGAAGUGUAUAGUUACAAGUGUAUUCAUUGCAAUUUAGUAACAAAGGAUUAGAGACAGCCGAAGUAUCUAUCAGAUAAGGUGACCUUUUUAAACGUCGGUUUAUACCUGCUGUUCUUGGUGUAAUCUUAGUGCUCCUUUCAAGUGUCCCACUUUAGAUAAAUUAUAUGUUCACUCUAAUAUAGAGGAUUGGUUAGAGAAAUUUCUACAUUGGCUCAAUGGAAAAAAAAGAAUGAAGACAUUAGGUACUGAGGUGGAAUGAUCUCCAAAACAUAAUGUUCAAUGAAAAAUAGUGUUCAGUGAAACUGCAAUGCUGCAGUUUAUGUAUAGGAAGAAAAAAUACGUGUGCAUGUUGAUACUUGCUUGUAUUGACAUGAUGGUGUCCGUGGAGAUACACAGAAUGGGGUGUCAUUGAUAACCUCCAUGAAGUGGAACUGGAUACUUGGGGAACAGAGAUCCCAGGAAUGACCCUUUUCACUGUAAACUUUAUUGCACUUCUUAAAUUUUUAACUAUUCAAAAAUAAUAAAAUAUUUUAGCAAACAAUAAAAUAUAUAGUAAAAUGAUGAGGUAUUUGGGAAAAGAAGUUGUAUCACUUGGGGUUCACCAAAGAAACAACUAGUAGGAUAUAUAUGAACUACAUUAAUUUCAAGGAACUGGUUACCUGAUUUUGGAAAUUGGCAAACCUCAAAUCUGUAGGGCAGGCAAGAAAGCUGGAAAAUCUCAGGCAGGAGCUGAGCCUGCCAUCUGUUUCUUCUCCGUGGAAACCCCAGGUUUGCUCUUCAGGUCUUUCAAGGGCUUGAAUGAGGCCCACACAUGUUAUGGAGGAUAACCUCUUUUAUAUAAAUUCAAGGGGCUGUAGAUGUUAUUAAGCACAUUAUAGCAACAUCAAGAUGAAUUCUUCUCAAGAAGGCUCUGGUCUGUUUUACUUGGCAGUCCACUAGCCAGAGCUACUUGAGAUGUAGUCCACAGAGUGGGCUGUUCUGUUUGUUAGUACAUGACAAAUUAUAGAAGUUGAGAGUUAAGGGUAUAAAAAAAACAGCAGGUAUACUACGUCUAUUGAAUUUUAAAAACUAUUUUAUCUAUUUGGCUGCACUGGGUCUUAGGUGCAGCCCACAGAAUCUUCCAUCUUAGUUGCAGCGUGUAGGAUGUAGUUCCCUGAUCAGGGAUUGAACCUGGGCCGCCUGCAUUGGGAGCUCAGAGUCUUAGGCACUGGACCAUCAGGGAUGUCCCAAGUCUAUUGAAUUUAAAAAAUGGAUUGUGAUAGUUGUAUUUGUUUCUUCAGUUUUCUAGUAACUUAACUAGAUUUUACAAAAUCCCAGUGAUCAUAAAUAUCAAAAGAAAAAAAAAAAUCUGCCCUUUUCCACAGAUAAUUUAAGAAACUCCUGAAUCCAUGGUAAGCAGUGUGUAAGGCUGCAUGUGGCUGGAAAGAUGGGCAGAAAUACAGGUUUGCUGCAGUUGACCUGAAGUAGCAGUAGAGGAGGGGAGCAGAACUUACAUUCACCCUGUAAUAAUUCUCUUGCUCUUUCCUGAAACCAACAGUGUAACUCCCUAAGCUGCACUCCCAGCAUGAGAGAGAGGAGAGGAUCAAAGAGCCCACUUGUGGGUGCCGCCUGGCUGGAUGAGAGGGCUCCGAGCACUGAGCAUUCUGCCCAGCGGCCCUGGAAUAAGGGCAGGUUUCUCUGGAGGCAGUUACAGCCAUUCCCAUUGUUGAGGGGGGCUCCCCUCAUCCAGAGGCAACAGUGCUUCUGUGGGGCAAGAUUUUCCCUGAAGGAAUUUUGAGAACAACUGCUGAUACUUCGGCAGGGUCUUGAGGUACUUCCUUUACAAUGAGCGUGUACUGUUAGUGACAGAGCUUGACACAGACCGCUAUUAUCUCAAACAACCCCACUUGCCUGCCAUUGGCAUGAAAUACCCUUCUUUGUUCGAGGCCCUUUUCCUGAUCUCCCUCAGGAGGUGAAAUCACGACCACUUUCCAGGGCUGUUGAGAGCAGAAAAGCCCUCAGUCAGUUCUCAUGUGAAAUGUGCCGAGGACCCCAGCAUUGGGAGCAUUCCAUCCUGCUCCUGUGUCCAGGGUCUCCCUCACUGAGGGGGAUCUGUCUACUGAAAGAUGAACGACCGAGAUCGGACUGUGCCAUCCCCUUGAUGGAGCUGUUUUCUUAUUUGAGACUGUAAGAAAGCACACCCACCUGUAUGGACUAUUGAGCAACUUUAAGAUAACAAACUUUGGCUUUUAACCAAUAUUAAAUACAAAAUGCUGAAUGGUAAGAAAACUAUGCAACAACAAGUAAUUAUCAUAUCCCCUCUUCCCCAAUUUUACUCUUGUUUUCUGUUUUUUUCUCAGGAGAAAUACUAUAAAGUGGUUGCUAAAACAUGCACAAAUUGGGAACCGGCCUAGCACUUUUAGUAAUAGCAACACUAAUGAAUCAAAAUGAAGAUAUAAAUCUAAAUGUAUUCAUAUGGAAAAAUGUACAUUAUACAUUGUUAAGUGAGCAGAUGAAGAACACUACAGAAUGAUUAAAUUUGGUUUUAAAUGUUUAUAUGCAAAGGGAGAAAUCUGAAAUGUUCAUUUGCUGUUUUUACUUUAAAUUUUAUAUAAUGAUUACGUGUCACUUUCAAAGUUAUCAAACAGAAACAAUAAAAAAUAAUUCAUAUUUGAGCAAAGACUUCAUAGGGCAAAGUAUUUCCCCACUGAAUAUCAAAUACAUUGGAACUAUCUCAAAAGGAGGGCUAUAGUUCUUUGGAUCUAAAAUUGAAGACAACCAAAAGCAAAAAUCCUAGUAUUUAGAAAGGACUAUUCAGUAAGGUUCUAAAUAUAAGCUAAUUUCAUUUUGAAAAUUGGAGAUUACUGUCUAUAGCUGAAAACAUCAAGGGAUUCAAGGUGGUAUUUAUAUGAAAUUUGAGAAAGCUUUGACAAGUUCUUGGCUAACAACUGACUAACUUGCAAACACACACACGCACAAAAAUUGCAUGAGACUAGUAUGUUCUUAUAAGCACUUUGUCUUCCUCCCAGGAGGUAUAUGGAAAGCAGAUAAAUUAAAAUACCUUUUGUCCUUGACCUGCACAAAGUAACGAUUAUACAGAACACUAAGCUAAGUCUUUCUGGCAAGACCACCUUCUCUGACAAUAUAAAAGGAUUUUCUACUAUAGAGUUAUGUCUGUGUUCCUCUAUCUGUCCUUCUGGUACCACACGUCCUCCUCCAGGCCAACUUGGACCACCCACACACUAACAGGAAGUCUGAUAGACAUCAGAAGUCUGAUAGACACUAGGCUAGGCUCUGGCAAUGAGACCCCAGUGCAGCCUCAUUCUUCUGUCCUUACUCCUUUCUUCAACCCUUCCAUGUUUGAGAAGAAUGAACAGACUCUUCCACAAGCCUGCAUGUUGACUUCCCGUAGGUUUUCAGGGGUUCCCUGACUCUUCCAGUAGAAAUAAGUUUGAAAUCAUCAACAUGUGAUUUGGGAGUACUAGGCAUUCAGAGACACGAAUAACUUACCAACUUCCAGCGUAAUAUCUUGAUCCACUCGUCAGCUUCUACUCCUGUCUUUGCACAGAGGUAAAAUGUCCUGAAUGGAAAUACUAAGCUGAUAAGACAAAAGAAAGAAUGUAAGAUAUUCCAGACCAUUGAACAUCUUAUUAGUUGAGCACUCAUUAAAGUAUUCCAAGUGGAAAAAGAAUUGACGUAGAACCUGGGUAAGAACCUCAGGAGUUGGUAUAUAGAGAGCUAGGCCUGCUGGAAAACUGCAGAAAUGUUGAGGAUGUUGCACAUUCACAUUAUUAUUUUUACAGGCAGAUUUGUAUAUUUUAAUGAGUCCAAAGGGUGGGAUGGAGGUGGGGAAGAGGUCCAGGUAAAACCCAGAUCCUUCUAUUGUUCAUGAUCUAGGCUGAAUACACACAUGUGUUUAUUCCGCUGAUUCAUUAAAUGACUCAGAACUUGUGCUACAAUUCAAAGAACAAGCAACACAAAUAAAAGAGUUUGCUGAAGGAAUUCAUUUGUGUUAGCUGGCUGCAACAAGGAAGACAGCGGCCUCUGUGGACGAAGGCAAUUUUAACUUUUCAGAGCAGCAAAGGAGACAAUAAAUCUCAUCAACUAUUUACUUUUCCUCCUUCUUGCCAUGAAUUAAUCUUUGCUGAAGGGAAGACAAACUUGCCUGCUGGCAUGAAAGACUGUUCUAGGAAGAGAAUUAACUCCUCCUUUGACUGUGUCUUGGGUUAUAGAGUCAAAAUCAUUUGACUCAUGGACUUCCCUGGUGGUCUAGUGGCUAAAACUCCCAGCUCCCAAUGCAGGGGGUGCCCAGGUUCAAUCCCACAUACUGCAACUAAGAGUUCAAACGCUGCAGCUAAAAGAUCCCACGUGCCAUAAAUAAGACCUGAUGCAGUCUAAUUAAUUAACUUAAAAAAUCAUCUGAUUUAUAUCUUGCCCACACUUUCUAUCCUAACAGUUGA